GGGGGGUGCAAGCGUUGUUCGGAAUUAUUGGGCGUAAAGAGCGUGUAGGCGGUUUGUUAAGUCUGUUGUGAAAGCCCUGGGCUCAACCCAGGAAGUGCACUGGAUACUGGCAGACUUGAAUACGGGAGAGGGUAGUGGAAUUCCUAGUGUAGGAGUGAAAUCCGUAGAUAUUAGGAGGAACACCGGUGGCGAAGGCGGCUACCUGGACCGAUAUUGACGCUGAGACGCGAAAGCGUGGGUAGCAAACAGGAUUAGAUACCCUGGUAGUCCACGCCGUAAACGAUGAGAACUAGGUGUUGCGGGUAUUGACCCCUGCAGUGCCGCAGCUAACGCAUUAAGUUCUCCGCCUGGGAAGUACGGUCGCAAGACUA
rnacentral:rRNA from 1 species